UUUUGACAACCUAUUUGGGUUAUAGCCCAGCUGAAAAACCUAAUUGGGCUAUAGAAUAUAGUGUGGACACUUAAUCAGCAUUUGGUCCAACUGUUAGAAAUUCAUUCUUCCCGGAGACUACCUACCUUUUCUACCACAUCCGGUCCGCCGCUGCCGAGCCCCUGAUAAUAAGCAAAGCACCAACUCAUUUGAGUCUACUGAAGACUUUGAGACUGCUUUUUGGUGAUAGUAUGGGAACAGGCCAAGUUCAAACUCCUUUUUCUUAAAGCUUGAUAGGGUAGAAAAGGCUUAUGAUACAUCUGGGUUGGGAUCCACGUUCAGUUCUGGCAAAGAUCUAGUUAAGUGGAUGGUCUGGAUGAGAGUUUUGAUACGUUAUCAGAUGGGAUGGAUGGUAAGUUGAAGGAAGAAGCCAGAUAUUUUGAGUUUGAUCUUGAUGAAGUAGAGAAAGAUCAUUAUGCUUGCAGAGCAGAUAUGACCUUUUGGCCAAGGAACACUUGUGAAAUCAAGGUAUGAGAAAUGAGGUAGCAUUUCAGACAUGCUUUUAGCAUCACGAGUGUCAUUUUUCCGUAUGAGGAUACGUCUCAUUGUGGUUUUUGUAUAUCUUGCACCCAUUGGCGUUUCAACAGCUUCCGUCAAACUUUCAAAUGUAUAGGCUGUGCUAAAAUUGUAUGGUCGAAGUGCGUAUUUCCUAGUACACCUUGUUUCAAUCUUCGUUCUCUGUGGCAAGAGCAAAAUUAUGGAUGGCAUUAAUUUGUUGCCGUAACUCAACCUAUUCUCUAUGGUUCUUCCAUGUCCGCUUCUAAUCUUUUCAUUUUUUAUCUGCGGGAUCUUGAUCUUACAAAACCAGGAGUUCGCAAGCCCUUUCAAAGGGAUAAUUGAAAUUACAAAAGAGGAAAUUCUGCACAAAGCUGGUUUCAGGAUUGGUAGUCUUGGUUCUGCAUCACUUUGACCAUGUAUGUUUUCAAAAGUUAUGGAGACACCUUCCAGCACAUGUAUUGCUUAUGUAUUAUACUAGCGUCAAGCUUCUCUGCUGGUCAAAUUUUCAAAGAAGUUUCUCUUGCUGGUCAGUUUAUUGGUACUGAAUAUCACAUCCCCAAGUACUGGAUUGAUUCUUAUUGCCUUGUAAGUUUGGCCUAACGGAGUUAUCUGAUUUAUACAUUUAAACAUAUUUGUAAUACAGAACGUGAGGUUCCUAGCUAGCUUCAUCACAGAAGCUGGAAUUCUCCUCAGGAGUGGCAAGAAUGGAAUUAGUGUGAAGGCUCACAGAAUGAUUGCCAUGGGAUUCAAAACUGCCAGAACUUUUGGUCUGAUGCCGUUCACCACUAUGGGAACAAAACAAUUUGUGUUUGCCAGAACAAUGGAGGAUCUAUGAGUAUGAGAUGGAUGUGACGCAUCAGUACUCCUGGACGAUACCUCUAAUUUCAGCGGAGAGAAAACAGCUGGACCAAACUUGAACUCAUUAAGGGGUUUUGAAGUGAUUGAUAACAUCAAGGCUGACCUAGAAUAUGCUUGUCCCCAGA